UGGGGAAUAUUGGACAAUGGGCGAAAGCCUGAUCCAGCCAUGCCGCGUGUGUGAAGAAGGUCUUCGGAUUGUAAAGCACUUUAAGUUGGGAGGAAGGGCAGUAAAUUAAUACUUUGCUGUUUUGACGUUACCGACAGAAUAAGCACCGGCUAACUCUGUGCCAGCAGCCGCGGUAAUACGAAGGGUGCAAGCGUUAAUCGGAAUUACUGGACGUAAAGCGUGCGUAGAUGGCCGAUUAAGUCGGAUGUGAAAGCCCCGGGCUCAACCUGGGAACGGCAUCCGAUACUGGUGGGCUAGAGUGCGGUAGAGGAGAGCGGAAUUCCCGGUGUAGCGGUGAAAUGCGUAGAGAUCGGGAGGAACAUCCGUGGCGAAGGCGGCUCUCUGGACCAGCACUGACGUUGAGGCACGAAAGCGUGGGGAGCAAACAGGAUUAGAUACCCCCGUAGUCCCUGAGCGGGCUGGCAAGGCGCAU
rnacentral:rRNA from 1 species